UACGUAGGGGGCAAGCGUUGUCCGGAAUCAUUGGGCGUAAAGCGCGUGUAGGCGGUCCGGUAAGUCCGCUGUGAAAGUCCAGGGCUCAACCCUGGGAUGCCGGUGGAUACUGUCGGGCUAGAGUACGGAAGAGGCGAGUGGAAUUCCCGGUGUAGCGGUGAAAUGCAUUGAGAUCGGAAAGAACACCAACGGCGAAAGCACUCUGCUGGGCCGACACUGACACUGAGAGACGAAAGCUAGGGGAGCAAAUGGG
rnacentral:rRNA from 1 species